rnacentral:rRNA from 1 species
AUUGAACGCUGGCGGCAGGCCUAACACAUGCAAGUCGAGCGAGCGGCGGACGGGUGAGUAACGUCUGGGAAACUGCCUGAUGGAGGGGGUUAAAAACUGGAAACGGUAGAUAAUACCGCAUACCAUCAGCAGUGCCCAGAUGGGUUUAGCUAGUAGGUGGGGUAACGGCUCACCUAGGCGACGAUCCCUAGCUGGUCUGAGAGGAUGACCAGCCACACUGGAACGGAGACACGGUCCAGACUCCUACGGGAGGCAGCAGUGGGGAAUAUUGCACAAUGGGCGCAAGCCUGAUGCAGCGAUGCCGCGUGUAUGAAGAAGGCCUUCGGGUUGGAAAGUACUUUCAGCGGGGAGGCGUUACCCGCAGAGGAAGCACCGGCUAACUCCGUGCCAGCAGCCGCGGUAAUUC